rnacentral:rRNA from 1 species
CCACACCGUAAACGAUGAGUGUUAGGUGUCGGGGGUCAAACCUCGGUGCCGACGCAAACGCAUUAAACACUCCGCCUGGGGAGUACGUUCGCAAGAAUGAAACUCAAAGGAAUUGACGGGGACCCGCACAAGCAGCGGAGCAUGUGGUUUAAUUCGAAGCAACGCGAAGAACCUUACCGGGGCUUGACAUAUAUCUGACCCUCUUAGAGAUAAGAACUUUCUUCGGAACAGAUAUACAGGUGGUGCAUGGUUGU